CGACCUCGGGCUGUACGGGACUACCCGGUGGAUUUAAGCAUAUUAAUAAGCGGAGGGAAAAC
rnacentral:rRNA from 1 species